GCAUAUCAAUAAGCGGAGGAAAAGAAACCAACAGGGAUUGCCCCAGUAGCGGCGAGUGAAGCGGCAAGAGCUCAGAUUUGAAAUCGUGUUUCGGCACGAGUUGUAGAGUGUAGGCGGGAGUCUCUGUGGAGCGCGGUGUCCAAGUCCCUUGGAACAGGGUGCCUGAGAGGGUGAGAGCCCCGUAGGGUGCUGCGCGAAGCUUUUGAGGCCCUGCUGACGAGUCGAGUUGUUUGGGAAUGCAGCUCCAAGCGGGUGGUAAAUUCCAUCUAAGGCUAAAUAUUGGCGAGAGACCGAUAGCGAACAAGUACUGUGAAGGAAAGAUGAAAAGCACUUUGAAAAGAGAGUGAAACAGCACGUGAAAUUGUUGAAAGGGAAGGGUAUUGGGCUCGACAUGGGGGGUGCGCACCGCUGUCUCUUGUAGGCGGCGCUCUGGGCGCCCUCUGGGCCAGCAUCGGUUCCUGCUGCGGGAGAAGGGGCUCCGGAAAGUGGCUCUUCGGAGUGUUAUAGCCGGGGCCAGAUGCCGCGUGUGGGGACCGAGGACUGCGGCUUCUGUCUCGGAUGCUGGCAUAACGGCGCAAUACCGCCCGUCUU
rnacentral:rRNA from 1 species